rnacentral:rRNA from 1 species
UACGAAGGUCGCAAGCGUUAUCCGGAUUUAUUGGGCUUAAAGGGUGCGUAGGCGGGUUAUUAAGUCAGUGGUGAAAGCUCCCGGCUCAACCGGGAAAUUGCCAUUGAUACUGAUGAUCUUGAGUGUGGUUGAGGUGGGCGGAAUGUGUCAUGUAGCGGUGAAAUGCUUAGAUAUGACACAGAACACCGAUUGCGAAGGCAGCUCACUAAGCCACAACUGACGCUGAUGCACGAAAGCGUGGGGAGCAAACAGG